rnacentral:rRNA from 1 species
UUAAGUUAUUAAGGGCGCACGGUGGAUGCCUUGGCACUAGAAGCCGAUGAAGGACGUUACUAACGACGAUAUGCUUUGGGGAGCUGUAAGUAAGCUUUGAUCCAGAGAUUUCCGAAUGGGGAAACCCAGCAUGAGUUAUGUCAUGUUAUCGAUAUGUGAAUACAUAGCAUAUCAGAAGGCACACCCGGAGAACUGAAACAUCUUAGUACCCGGAGGAAGAGAAAGAAAAUUCGAUUCCCUUAGUAGCGGCGAGCGAAACGGGAAGAGCCCAAACCAACAAGCUUGCUUGUUGGGGUUGUAGGACACUCUAUACGGAGUUACAAAGGACGACAUUAGACGAAUCAUCUGGAAAGAUGAAUCAAAGAAGGUAAUAAUCCUGUAGUCGAAAAUGUUGUCUCUCUUGAGUGGAUCCUGAGUACGACGGAGCACGUGAAAUUCCGUCGGAAUCUGGGAGGACCAUCUCCUAAGGCUAAAUACUCUCUAGUGACCGAUAGUGAACCAGUACCGUGAGGGAAAGGUGAAAAGCACCCCGGAAGGGGAGUGAAAUAGAACCUGAAACCGUGUGCUUACAAGUAGUCAGAGCCCGUUAAUGGGUGAUGGCGUGCCUUUUGUAGAAUGAACCGGCGAGUUACGAUUUGAUGCAAGGUUAAGCAGUAAAUGUGGAGCCGUAGCGAAAGCGAGUCUGAAUAGGGCGUUUAGUAUUUGGUCGUAGACCCGAAACCAGGUGAUCUACCCUUGGUCAGGUUGAAGUUCAGGUAACACUGAAUGGAGGACCGAACCGACUUACGUUGAAAAGUGAGCGGAUGAACUGAGGGUAGCGGAGAAAUUCCAAUCGAACCUGGAGAUAGCUGGUUCUCUCCGAAAUAGCUUUAGGGCUAGCCUCAAGUGAUGAUUAUUGGAGGUAGAGCACUGUUUGGACGAGGGGCCCCUCUCGGGUUACCGAAUUCAGACAAACUCCGAAUGCCAAUUAAUUUAACUUGGGAGUCAGAACAUGGGUGAUAAGGUCCGUGUUCGAAAGGGAAACAGCCCAGACCACCAGCUAAGGUCCCAAAAUAUAUGUUAAGUGGAAAAGGAUGUGGCGUUGCCCAGACAACUAGGAUGUUGGCUUAGAAGCAGCCAUCAUUUAAAGAGUGCGUAAUAGCUCACUAGUCGAGUGACACUGCGCCGAAAAUGUACCGGGGCUAAACAUAUUACCGAAGCUGUGGAUUGUCCUUUGGACAAUGGUAGGAGAGCGUUCUAAGGGCGUUGAAGCAUGAUCGUAAGGACAUGUGGAGCGCUUAGAAGUGAGAAUGCCGGUGUGAGUAGCGAAAGACGGGUGAGAAUCCCGUCCACCGAUUGACUAAGGUUUCCAGAGGAAGGCUCGUCCGCUCUGGGUUAGUCGGGUCCUAAGCUGAGGCCGACAGGCGUAGGCGAUGGAUAACAGGUUGAUAUUCCUGUACCACCUAUAAUCGUUUUAAUCGAUGGGGGGACGCAGUAGGAUAGGCGAAGCGUGCGAUUGGAUUGCACGUCUAAGCAGUAAGGCUGAGUAUUAGGCAAAUCCGGUACUCGUUAAGGCUGAGCUGUGAUGGGGAGAAGACAUUGAGUCUUCGAGUCGUUGAUUUCACACUGCCGAGAAAAGCCUCUAGAUAGAAAAUAGGUGCCCGUACCGCAAACCGACACAGGUAGUCAAGAUGAGAAUUCUAAGGUGAGCGAGCGAACUCUCGUUAAGGAACUCGGCAAAAUGACCCCGUAACUUCGGGAGAAGGGGUGCUCUUUAGGGUUAACGCCCAGAAGAGCCGCAGUGAAUAGGCCCAAGCGACUGUUUAUCAAAAACACAGGUCUCUGCUAAACCGUAAGGUGAUGUAUAGGGGCUGACGCCUGCCCGGUGCUGGAAGGUUAAGAGGAGUGGUUAGCUUCUGCGAAGCUACGAAUCGAAGCCCCAGUAAACGGCGGCCGUAACUAUAACGGUCCUAAGGUAGCGAAAUUCCUUGUCGGGUAAGUUCCGACCCGCACGAAAGGCGUAACGAUUUGGGCACUGUCUCAACGAGAGACUCGGUGAAAUCAUAGUACCUGUGAAGAUGCAGGUUGCCCGCGACAGGACGGAAAGACCCCGUGGAGCUUUACUGUAGCCUGAUAUUGAAAUUCGGCACAGCUUGUACAGGAUAGGUAGGAGCCUUUGAAACGUGAGCGCUAGCUUACGUGGAGGCGCUGGUGGGAUACUACCCUAGCUGUGUUGGCUUUCUAACCCGCACCACUUAUCGUGGUGGGAGACAGUGUCAAGCGGGCAGUUUGACUGGGGCGGUCGCCUCCUAAAAGGUAACGGAGGCGCUCAAAGGUUCCCUCAGAAUGGUUGGAAAUCAUUCAUAGAGUGUAAAGGCAUAAGGGAGCUUGACUGCGAGACCUACAAGUCGAGCAGGGUCGAAAGACGGACUUAGUGAUCCGGUGGUUCCGCAUGGAAGGGCCAUCGCUCAACGGAUAAAAGCUACCCCGGGGAUAACAGGCUUAUCUCCCCCAAGAGUUCACAUCGACGGGGAGGUUUGGCACCUCGAUGUCGGCUCAUCGCAUCCUGGGGCUGUAGUCGGUCCCAAGGGUUGGGCUGUUCGCCCAUUAAAGCGGUACGCGAGCUGGGUUCAGAACGUCGUGAGACAGUUCGGUCCCUAUCCGUCGUGGGCGUAGGAAAUUUGAGAGGAGCUGUCCUUAGUACGAGAGGACCGGGAUGGACAUACCUCUGGUGUACCAGUUGUCGUGCCAACGGCAUAGCUGGGUAGCUAUGUGUGGACGGGAUAAGUGCUGAAAGCAUCUAAGCAUGAAGCCCCCCUCAAGAUGAGAUUUCCCAACUUCGGUUAUAAGAUCCCUCAAAGAUGAUGAGGUUAAUAGGUUCGAGGUGGAAGCAUGGUGACAUGUGGAGCUGACGAAUACUAAUCGAUCGAAGACUUAAUCAA